AUGACGCCUGCGCCGUGCCGCGGCCUCACCCUCUUGCAUGACGCCGUGGAGCCAGCCUACUAUGUUUUCAAUGCCACCACACGGGCCAUCACCCGGCUGCCGCCUUGCCAAGACUCCUUCAUGGCCACUGCUGGUCUCGGAUUCGAUUCCAAGACGAGAGAGUACAAGGUAGUGAGGUUGUUUUUCGAGAAACACUUCGGGGUUGAUAAUAUCAAGUGCGAGGUGUAUGUCCUUGGUGGCGAGCAUGGGGAUUGCUGGAUGCCGGCUGCCGGAGGUGUGCCCUUUAGGUUCCGCAAGUUUGCCGCUGCUGCGAUAAUCGCAACACAGAGUGAAGCUAAGCUGAUGCCAGUGUUCGCAGACGGAUUUCUGCAUUGGGUUAUAGACUCGUCUCUUUUCCUCACAAAGCCAAGAACUGCCGUCUUAUCGUUCUCUGUCGCAGAUGAGACCUUUAGAUGGUUCAGGUCACCGCCGGUUGAGGAGGCAUCAGGAGGGCAGUUGGUGGAGAUUGCUGGGCACAUGUGUAUGAUCCGGCCACCAAUCUUUGAGGUUCCAGGAGUGCACCUGGUGGAGCUUGAUGACCACUUGUGUAUGGUCCGGGACCUCCGUCCUGAUACUAGGAUUAUGGAGAUUUGGGGAAUGCAGGACUGUAACUCUGGUGAUUGGACGUUGGCACAUCGCAUUGAUUUGUUACAACAUGUUCAAAGAGGUUUGAUGGAGCCGCAAAUUAUUAGAGUCAUUGGUUCUGUUGGCAAUUGUGGAUCAAGGAACAAGGUGAUCUUGGCUACAUCCAAACGCAAGGUGAUCACCUAUACCCAGUAUCUGGAACUCUGGAAACCGUUCUUGCAAUCAGAGAAACUCAUUCAUCUUACGAAACUGAGCAAUCUGCUCCUAGAGUCAGCUUAUUUAAAGAGAAUCUUGCUCCGGUGCACAGAACAAAUGAAGAGAUAG
rnacentral:rRNA from 1 species